AUCGCUUCUCAGCCUUUUGGCUAAGAUCAAGUGUAGUAUAAAUUUUUCACUAAAUUGCAAGCAUAUUUGCAAAGCCAGAUAUGAUAAACUCUUUAACUGAAAUGAAACUUCCAUAAAUGUGGAAUGUAUCUUGUUUGUA
ensembl:snRNA U2 U2 spliceosomal RNA